CCCUUUUCUGCUUCGCUCCCAACUAAGAAUGCAGAGUCAGGGAGAUGGCGCAGAGACAAUGCUGCUGUCCAUUGAAGCCCUCCAAAGGUCGGAGAUUCGAUCACAGGACAGCCUGGCCUGGACCAAGUCAGGUUGAUAUGGCUAGGCGGCCUGCUGGCGAGAUAGUGGGAGUGGGCGGUCCGCCCCUCAGGACCUCUGACUUGGACAGAUGACUGGAUGACUCUCUGGGGCAGCAUUCACCGGAACUCAUAUGGAGGGGACUGCCUGAGAAACCAACCUGUGUGCCUGGGUCAGGUUGAUAUGGCUAGGCGGCCUGCUGGCGAGAUAGUGGGAGUGGGCGGCCCGCCCCUCAGGACCUCUGACCUGGACAGAUGACUGGAUGACUCUCUGGGGCAGCAUUCACCGGAACUCAUAUGGAGAGGACUGCCUGAGAAACCAACCUGUGUGCCUGGGUUGAUAUGGCUAGGCGGCCUGCUGGCGAGAUAGUGGGAGUGGGCGGUCCGCCCCUCAGGACCUCUGAUUUGGACAGAUGACUGGAUGACUCUCUGGGGCAGCAUUCACCGGAACUCAUAUGGAGGGGACUGCCUGAGAAACCAACCUGUGUGCCUGGGUCAGGUUGAUAUGGCUAGGCGGCCUGCUGGCGAGAUAGUGGGAGUGGGCGGUCCGCCCCUCAGGACCUCUGACUUGGACAGAUGACUGGAUGACUCUCUGGGGCAGCAUUCACCGGAACUCAUAUGGAGGGGGCUGCCUGAGAAACCAACCUGUGUGCCUGGGUCAGGUUGAUAUGGCUAGGCGGCCUGCUGGCGAGAUAGUGGGAGUGGGCGGUCCGCCCCUCAGGACCUCUGACUUGGACAGAUGACUGGAUGACUCUCUGGGGCAGCAUUCACCGGAACUCAUAUGGAGGGGGCUGCCUGAGAAACCAACCUGUGUGCCUGGGUCAGGUUGAUAUGGCUAGGCGGCCUGCUGGCGAGAUAGUGGGAGUGGGCGGUCCGCCCCUCAGGACCUCUGACUUGGACAGAUGACUGGAUGACUCUCUGGGGCAGCAUUCACCGGAACUCAUAUGGAGGGGGCUGCCUGAGAAACCAACCUGUGUGCCUGGGUCAGGUUGAUAUGGCUAGGCGGCCUGCUGGCGAGAUAGUGGGAGUGGGCGGUCCGCCCCUCAGGACCUCUGACUUGGACAGAUGACUGGAUGACUCUCUGGGGCAGCAUUCACCGGAACUCAUAUGGAGGGGGCUGCCUGAGAAACCAACCUGUGUGCCUGGCCCACCACCUACCAGAGGUAUUGGAAAAGAACGGAUACGGAGGAAGUGGACCCAUUUAGAGGUGAUUAUUUGGAGCAAAUCCCAUCUGCUUUGUCAGUUAUUGAGCAGUUCCGUUCAUAGGCUGGCAAUGGCAGCUUGAUCCACUCUCAAAGUCUUCAUGGAUACACCAGCAGUCCGUUCAGUAAAGUCCAGAUAGCAGCAGUUGCACGACCUAGCAGGAACAACCAGGCCUCAGCUGAAGACAGUAGUCUACAGGAGGCAUUGGACUAGCAUGAAUGUCAGGAGAAACUUACAGCUGUGCCUCUCUUAAGGAAGUGAAGAUCAGUGAAGACAGGAGACCAAAAGGCGUUUAGCUGUGCAAGCAAGCCAAGCCCUUCUCCCAGUCCCUCCAAACAUCACUAGUCCUCCACAGGACUUGUCUCACCAUGUGUUGCCUCAGCAAAACUCACCUUUACAAACACAGCUUUGAAGGCCAGUUUUUUGAGUUAAUAAUGUAAACAAAUGUUAUUCUACGACAAACGUAGAAUUCAAGAGAAAAAUGGAGUAAUGAGUAAACCAGACAUUAAAAAAGAUUCUAUAAAUGAUCGAAUUACCUUUAGGCUACUGCAGCUUAGGUAUAAUGUAAGGGGAGUAAUAAUCUACAAAUAAGCAAAUGAGCCAAGAUGACCAAGAUGGAAAUGGUUUGAUUAGGAAUUUGAUUAGGGAAGUUCUGCCAAGGCAGGGAUAGUUGGGGUGGACACCUUUAGUCCCAGCACUGGGGCUUUAUGCAUGCUAAGGACGAGCUCUAUUGCUGGGCCCCACGCUCUAGAGUCAAUGCUCUAAAAUACUGCACAAACUAAUUCUCAGACAUUAACUGCAGGAAGAAUGCUCUAAUCCUAGAUGAGUGUUUUCAAAACAAAACUUAGCAGCGAAGACCAAAAAA
rnacentral:lncRNA from 1 species